AUGCCCUUUGGUCUUGAUGGGGACUGUUCCUGUGACAUGCCCAGCUGUCUGAAAACAAAGGCCACCUUUUAUAGAUAAAAUCAGCAAAGAAGUGUUAGUGUGUCAAUUUCUUGGCUAUCAAUUCCUGAAUAUAAAGAGAUUGUCUGUGAUAUAUUUGUUUAUGAUUAGGUACAUGUCCAUUAAUCCUUUUUUUUGUUUUUUGAUGAGACGGAAUCUCACUCUGUUGCCCUAGGCUGGAGUGCAGUGACGUGAUCUUGCUCACUGCAACCUUCGCCUCCCAGGCUCAAGCGAUCCUCCCACCUCAGCCUCCCAAGUAGCUGGGGUUACAGGUACCCACCACCAUGCCCAGCUAAUAU
rnacentral:lncRNA from 1 species